rnacentral:rRNA from 1 species
GAUGAACGCUAGCGGCAGGCUUAAUACAUGCAAGUCGAGGGGUAGCAAGAUUGUAGCAAUACAAUUGUUGACGACCGGCAAACGGGUGCGGAACACGUACACAACCUUCCUACAAGUGGGGAAUAGCCCAGAGAAAUUUGGAUUAAUACCCCAUAACAUAGCGAUGUGGCAUCACAUUGCUAUUAUAGCUUCGGCGCUUGUUGAUGGGUGUGCGGCUGAUUAGAUAGUUGGCGGGGUAACGGCCCAACAAGUCUACGAUCAGUAGCUGAUGUGAGAGAAUGAUCAGCGACACAGGGACUGAGACACGGGACCUGCUCCUACGGGAGGUAGCAGGAAGGAAUAUUGGACAAUGGAAGCAAGUCUGAUCCAGCCAUGCCGCGUGAAGGAUUAAGGUCCUCUGGAUUGUAAACUUCUUUUAUAAGGGACGAAAAAAGGUCUUUCUAGAUCGUCUGACGGUACCUUAUGAAUAAGCACCGGCUAACUCCGUGCCAGCCGCCGCGGUAACAC